rnacentral:tRNA from 1 species
GAGUUGCAGCUCAGUGGUAGAGCUCUUGUCUAGGAUGUAUGAGGCACUGGGUUUGAUCCCCAGCACCACA